AUUGAACGCUGGCGGCAGGCCUAACACAUGCAAGUCGAGCGGAUGAAGGGAGCUUGCUCCUGGAUUCAGCUGCGGACGGGUGAGUAAUGCCUAGGAAUCUGCCUGGUAGUGGGGGAUAACGUCCGGAAACGGGCGCUAAUACCGCAUACGUCCUGAGGUAGAAAGGGGGGGAUCUUCGGACCUCACGCUAUCAGAUGAGCCUAGGUCGGAUUAGCUAGUUGGUGGGGUAAAGGCCUACCAAGGCGACGAUCCGUAACUGGUCUGAGAGGAUGAUCAGUCACACUGGAACUGAGACACGGUCCAGACUCCUACGGGAGGCAGCAGUGGGGAAUAUUGGACAAUGGGCGAAAGCCUGAUCCAGCCAUGCCGCGUGUGUGAAGAAGGUCUUCGGAUUGUAAAGCACUUUAAGUUGGGAGGAAGGGCAGUAAGUUAAUACCUUGCUGUUUUGACGUUACCAACAGAAUAAGCACCGGCUAACUUCGUG
rnacentral:rRNA from 1 species